rnacentral:rRNA from 1 species
UACGUAGGGGGCUAGCGUUGUCUGGAAUCAUUGGGCGUAAAGAGCGUGUAGGCGGCCCGGUAAGUCCGCUGUAAAAGUCAAAGGCUCAACCUUUGAAUGUCAGUGGAUACUGCCGGGCUAGAGUCCGGAAGAGGCGAGUGGAACUCCUGGUGUAGCGGUGGAAUGCGCAGAUAUCAGGAAGAACACCAACGGCGAAGGCAGCUCGCUGGGACGGUACUGACGCUGAGACGCGAAAGCGUGGGGAGCGAACAGG